CGGGUUCCACCCGCAGCCCAGGCUCACUGCCUCUGAGUGUUUGUUUUCCUUCUCCCAAUAGGAGACAGCAUCUGUAUCUUACUAACUUUGUAUCUUUUCCCUUAAGCAACUGGGCUCAGUGCCCAGUACAUAAAGGUCACUCAAUAAAUGUUUGUUCAACAAUUGAAUGAAUUAAUACAUAAAUAUAAUAAAGUGGAAUGUUAUUAUUGAUAGAAAAUUAAUUCUGGUAUCUCCGAACAGCACCUUUGACGAUUUGCCCCCAGGUGAGAUAAAGCCGAGAAGCGACUGAGGAGGAUAAAUUCCAGGGUGACCCUUUGGAAAUGAGUGGAGCUGUGUAACUUACAGAACACAUCAACACAGAAUGAGAUUAUGUGGGGAAUUGAAGAUGAACAUCAAUUUACUUGUUCCUGAAAAUAAAAGUUUCAUGAUUGUGACUUGUCAGGAUGUCAUCCUAUUAAUGCAGAACAAAAAUGCCAAGUUGUAUGAAAAUACUUCAAAAAAGUUCAUGGAAAAUCAGAAUUAAAAGGUCUCACCAUGCUGGCUUUCUGGGCACUCAGAUGCCCUGCUUCCAGGAGAACAAACCAACUGUUGAGUGAGAUAAAAGCCACUUUCCAUGGACCCUGACUGCACAUGCCUCUCUGCUUUGCCCUCUUCCUCUCACACAGGGUUUGUUUAAAAGUGGCUUUUGUCAUUCUGGAGACCUCUGAGAGACAAGGAUUGAGGAGAAUGUGGGGCAUUCAUGUCAGGUUUCAUUGGUAACUGUGUUAAGAACAACUGAACCAAUAAAGCCAUUGUUGUUAAAAUGAUGUUGGGCA
rnacentral:lncRNA from 1 species